ensembl:rRNA 5S_rRNA 5S ribosomal RNA
GUCUAUGGCCAUACCACCCUGAACACGGCCAAUCCCGUCUGAUCUCAGAAGCGAAACAGGGUCCGGCCUGGUUUGUACUUGGAUGGGAGACCGCAUGGGAAUACCGCGUGUAGGCU